AUUGAACGCUGGCGGCAGGCCUAACACAUGCAAGUCGAGCGGGAGGCGGACGGGAGAGUAAUGUAUGGGGAUGUGCCUGGUGGAGGGGGAUAACUAAUGGGCACGGUGGCUAAUACCGCAUACUAUCGGAUGAGCCGAUAUGGGAUUAGGUAGUGGGUGGGGUAAAGGCUUACCAAGGCGACGAUCUCUAGCUGGUCUGAGAGGAUGAUCAGCCACACUGGAACUGAGACACGGUCCAGACUCCUACGGGAGGCAGCAGUGGGGAAUAUUGCACAAUGGGCGCAAGCCUGAUGCAGCCAUGCCGCGUGUAUGAAGAAGGCCUUAGGAUUGUAAAGUACUUUCAGCGGGGAGGCGUUACCCGCAGAAGAAGCACCGGCUAACUCCGUGCCAGCCGCCGCGGUAAUAC
rnacentral:rRNA from 1 species